CAUCAAUGCGCCAACACCAUGAUGCAGUCGGGCGGUAGCAGGGAGAAAGCUUGCUUUCUCCGCUGACGAGCGGCGGACGGGUGAGUAAUGUCUGGGGAUCUGCCUGAUGGAGGGGGAUAACUACUGGAAACGGUAGCUAAUACCGCAUAACGUCGCAAGACCAAAGUGGGGGACCUUCGGGCCUCAUGCCAUCAGAUGAACCCAGAUGGGAUUAGCUAGUAGGUGGGGUAAUGGCUCACCUAGGCGACGAUCCCUAGCUGGUCUGAGAGGAUGACCAGCCACACUGGAACUGAGACACGGUCCAGACUCCUACGGGAGGCAGCAGUGGGGAAUAUUGCACAAUGGGCGCAAGCCUGAUGCAGCCAUGCCGCGUGUAUGAAGAAGGCCUUCGGGUUGUAAAGUACUUUCAGUAGGGAGGAAGGUGUGAGCGUUAAUAGCGUUCACAAUUGACGUUACCUACAGAAGAAGCACCGGCUAACUCCGUGCCAGCAGCCGCGGUAAUACGGAGGGUGCAAGCGUUAAUCGGAAUUACUGGGCGUAAAGCGCACGCAGGCGGUUUGUUAAGUUGGAUGUGAAAUCCCCGGGCUUAACCUGGGAACUGCAUCCAAGACUGGCAAGCUAGAGUCUCGUAGAGGGAGGUAGAAUUCCAGGUGUAGCGGUGAAAUGCGUAGAGAUCUGGAGGAAUACCGGUGGCGAAGGCGGCCUCCUGGACGAAGACUGACGCUCAGGUGCGAAAGCGUGGGGAGCAAACAGGAUUAGAUACCCUGGUAGUCCACGCUGUAAACGAUGUCGAUUUGGAGGUUGUGCCCUUGAGGCGUGGCUUCCGAAGCUAACGCGUUAAAUCGACCGCCUGGGGAGUACGGCCGCCACGUUAAAACUCAAAUGAAUUGACGGGGCCCGCACAAGCGGUGGAGCAUGUGGUUUAAUUCGAUGCAACGCGAAGACCUUACCUACUCCUUGACAUCUAGCCAAUCUUGUAGAGAUACGGGAGUGCCUUCGGG
rnacentral:rRNA from 1 species